AGACAAUAGAUACCCUGGUAGUCCACGCCGUAAACUAUGGAUGCUAGCUGUUAGAGGUAUCGACCCCUCUAGUAGCGAAAGCUAACGCGUUAAGCAUCCCGCCUGUGGAGUACGGUCGCAAGACUAAAACAUAAAGGAAUUGACGGGGACCCGCACAAGCGGUGGAGCGUGUUGUUUAAUUCGAUGGUAAGCGAAGAACCUUACCCAGGCUUGACAUCCUUGGAAUUUUGGCGAAAGCCGAGAGUGCCUUCGGGAACCAAGUGACAGGUGUUGCAUGGCCGUCGUCAGCUCGUGUCGUGAGAUGUUUGGUUAAGUCCAUCAACGAGCGCAACCCUUAUAGUUAGUUGAAUUUUUCUAGCUAGACUGCCCUGGCAACAGGGAGGAAGGAGGGGAUGAUGUCAGGUCAGUAUUACCCUUACGUCUGGGGCUACAAACACGCUACAAUGGCCGGUACAAAGGGCAGCCAAGUCGCGAGACGGAGC
rnacentral:rRNA from 1 species